CUGAAAGGUUUGGUCCUGGCUUUACUAUCAGCUUUAACCCGAUUUACACAUGCAAGCCUCCGCGGCCCUGUGAGGAUGCCCUCAAGCUCCCGUCCGGAGAUGAGGAGCGGGUAUCAGGCACGAUAUUCAGCCCACAACGCCUUGUUUAGCCACACCCCCAAGGGAAUUCAGCAGUGAUUAACAUUAAGACAUAAGUGAAAACUUGACUUAGUCAGGGAUAAGAGGGCCGGUAAAACUCGUGCCAGCCACCGCGGUUAUACGAGAGGCCCAAGUUGAUAGUCUCGGCGUAAAGGGUGGUUAUGGACAUUCGCCAAACUAGAGCUGAAGACCCCCUGGGCUGUUAUACGCAUCUGGGAGUUCGAAUCACUUAUACGAAAGUAGCUCUAACCUCUUCCACCAGAACCCACGACAGCUGGGAUACAAACUGGGAUUAGAUACCCCACUAUGCCCUGCCGUAAACUUAGAUAUUCGAUCACAAUAAAUAUCCGCCUGAGAACUACGAGCGCUAGCUUAAAACUCAAAGGACUUGGCGGUGCUCCAGACCCCCCUAGAGGAGCCUGUUCUAUAACCGAUAACCCCCGUUCAACCUCACUACUUCUUGCUCAUUCCGUUUAUAUACCACCGUCGCCAGCUUAUCCUGUGAAGGUACAGCAGUAAGCAGGAUGGGUAAAGCCCAGAACGUCAGGUCGAGGCGCAGCGUACGAAGUAGGAAGAAAUGGGCUACAUUAUCUGACACAGAUAAUUCACGGAGAGUUGCCUGAAAUAAGCACUCUGAAGGUGGAUUUAGCAGUAAGGAGAGAGUAGAGAGCUCUCCUGAAGCCGGCUCUGGAGCGCGCACACACCGCCCGUCAUUCUCUCCGAUAACAUGAUACCUUGUAGCUAACACAAUACCAACCACUAAGGAGAGGUAAGUCGUAACAUGGUAAGUGUACCGGAAGGUGCACUUGGAAUAAC
rnacentral:ncRNA from 1 species